rnacentral:rRNA from 1 species
UGCCUCAGUAACGGCGAGUGAAGCGGCAACAGCUCAAAUUUGAAAUCUGGCCGUCUUCGCGGUCCGAGUUGUAAUUUGUAGAGGAUGCUUCAGGUGCGGCGCCGGUCUAAGUUCCUUGGAACAGGACGUCAUGGAGGGUGAGAAUCCCGUCUGUGACCGGUGGCCCAGCCCGUGUGAAGCUCCUUCGACGAGUCGAGUUGUUUGGGAAUGCAGCUCUAAAUGGGUGGUAAAUUUCAUCUAAAGCUAAAUACCGGCCAGAGACCGAUAGCGCACAAGUAGAGUGAUCGAAAGAUGAAAAGCACUUUGGAAAGAGAGUUAAAAAGUACGUGAAAUUGUUGAAAGGGAAGCGCUUGCAACCAGACUUGCCCGUGAGCGAUCAGCCGUCCUUCUGGGCGGUGCACUCGCCCGCGGUCAGGCCAGCAUCGGUUCAGGCGGCCGGAUAAAGGCCCCGGGAACGUAGCUCCCCUCGGGGAGUGUUAUAGCCCGGGGUGCAAUGCGGCCCGCCGGGACCGAGGACCGCGCUUCGGCUAGGAUGCUGGCGUAAUGGUUGUCAGCGACCCGUCUUGAAACACGGACCAAGGAGUCUAACAUCUAUGCGAGUGUUUGGGUGUCAAACCCAUGCGCGCAAUGAAAGUGAACGGAGGUGGGAACCCUCAAGGGCGCACCAUCGACCGAUCCUGAUGUCGUCGGAUGGAUUUGAGUACGAGCAUAGCUGUUGGGACCCGAAAGAUGGUGAACUAUGCCUGAAUAGGGUGAAGCCAGAGG